CGCCUCAGCGCGGCGCCGGCUAGAGCGGUGGCCCUGAUAGAGGCCGCUCUACCAUGAGCCGACCGCUCGAAGGUCCGCGCGGCCACGCGGCCAGCCCCGGGCUCCUCUGGGCCACGCGUGUCACGUCAACACUCGCCGGGCUCCACGAACUGGCGUUGUCAGAUGAAACACGGCACAACUGGUUUGCAUCUCAGAUGAACAAGGGGUCAUGUCUUAGUACAACGUGAAAGGCAGCACGUGGUGACGUCCAUCUCGCAGCCCAGGGCAGUCUCGCCAGGCCUGCCCAGAAGGGGCCUCUGGAAGGCACGAACGGAACCUGUCCUCUUUACGCUGGGCCCAGCACAGGACGUGUUUGGAUGGAUGCUGCAGUAACAGGGCCUCCUCCCUACCCUUGAGGGCCAGGCACACUCAGGACCUCCCUCCCUCUGCCAUCCAGAAGGCAGGUCCAGAUCUAAACCCUACUGGAAAAGAGGCAGUAAAUUGUAUCAAUGAGCCUGAA